AGCUGAGCUUCCCAGCCCACCAGGGUUUCAGUCACUGUCCAGGGUGACAGUCCCAGCCCAUCAGUGACUGAAGCUGGCUUAGAUGACACCUGGGGGCCAGGCCCUUGUUUUACAGGCCAGGAAACUGAGGCUGGGGCCACACGACCGCAGCGCUCCUUGCGGACUUAUCUGCGACCUCACAGCAACCCGGUGGUGGUGGGAAAGCUCCUCUGGAGCAGGCAGAUAAGGAAACAGAGGCUCAGAGGAGUCCAGAGCCGGCUCAAGGUCACGCACCCGGUGAAGCCAGGGCUGGUGGCGCCUGGGCUUCCUGGUGCAAGGCACUUUCUGCUCUUCCCAUCCUGGUCUGGCAGGAACAGCCACUAAGCCAAGAGGAUCGGAGGCCCAGAGAGGCAGGGCAUAUACAAAGGCACAGUCGAGACUCUCCGGUGGAUUAUAUAACCCCUCCGAGGGGCUGUUCCCGGGGGGAACUGAGGCAGCCAAGGUGGCCCGGGGACCGCACAGCCAGUCUGGCCCACCCACCAGCCGGCUUCGCUCUUUCCAAAGAGGCCUCUCCACUGUGCUGUUUCUCCCCUGGAGCCAGCCAACCGCAGGCUGAAACCGUGAGUCAAAAUAAACCUCUCUUCCUUUGAGCUGUGGGUGUUGGGUGUUUUGUUCCAGCGGCAGGGAAGUGACUAAGGUGAGACCACGUUGUAAGAGGGCACCAGCGAAGGUGGGCUGGGCAGGGGUAGGGUCUCCGAACAAGGAAAGGAGCUGGGGCCCAUCCUAUAGCCACAGCACCUGGAUUCUGCCAGCACAGAGUUGGGAAGUGGAUUCUAACCCUGGAUUCCAGGUAUGGACCAGCCUGGUGACACCCGGUGGGACCGUGAGACUGAAGCCCACCUUCCCUCAGCGCUUCUAGCCUGUGGAGCACUAGGAGGGGAUCUACCCUGCAGCUGCUCACGCCGGUGACUUCCCCGUGAGAUCCUGACAUCCUGGCCAGCACUGCACUGACCAGGCCACCCCUUGGCUCACAGAUGGAG
rnacentral:lncRNA from 1 species